UGGGGAAUAUUGCGCAAUGGGGGAAACCCUGACGCAGCGACGCCGCGUGCGGGAUGAAGGCCUUCGGGUUGUAAACCGCUUUUGAUUGGGAGCAAGCUUUCGGGUGAGUGUACCUUUCGAAUAAGCGCCGGCUAACUACGUGCCAGCAGCCGCGGUAAUACGUAGGGCGCAAGCGUUAUCCGGAAUUAUUGGGCGUAAAGCGCGCGCAGGUGGUUUAGAAAGUCUGAUGUGAAAGCCCACGGCUCAACCGUGGAGGGUCAUUGGAAACUAAUAAACUUGAGUGCAGGAGAGAAAAGUGGAAUUCCUAGUGUAGCGGUGAAAUGCGUAGAGAUUAGGAGGAACACCGGUGGCGAAAGCGGCUUUUUGGCCUGCAACUGACACUGAGGCGCGAAAGCGUGGGGAGCAAACAGG
rnacentral:rRNA from 1 species